AGCGAACGCUGGCGGCAGGCCUAACACAUGCAAGUCGAGCGGGCACUUUCGGGUGUCAGCGGCGGACGGGUGAGUAACGCGUGGGAACGUGCCCUUUGGUUCGGUAUCUCUCAGGGAAACUUGACCUAAUACCGGCUACGCCAUUUUGGGGAAAGGCUUGCUGCCGCAGGAUCGACUAGUGUCAGAUUAUCUUGUUGGUGCGUUAACGGCUCACCAAGGCGCGGAACAGUAGCUGGUCUGAGAGGAUGAUCAGCCACACUGGUACGUAGACACGGCCCAGACUCCUACGGGAUGCAGCAGUGGGGGAUGUUGGACAGUGGGCGCAAGCCUGAUCGAGCCAUGCCGCGAGAGUGAUGAAGGUAUUAAGGUUGUAAAGCUCUUUUAACCGGGACGAUAAUGACGGUACCGGAGGAGUAAGCCCCGGCUAACUUCGUG
rnacentral:rRNA from 1 species